rfam:Thielaviopsis punctulata NODE_206, whole genome shotgun sequence.
AUCCUAGUGCUAGGGCGUUAAGUGUUACAGUGAGGAUUCGUCCGAGUACACUUUUUUGCUAGUUGAAAACUAUACUAUGACCACUCCAGCCUGGGGCUUUGCCCUGGUUGGGAAUUUUUGGCAUUUUCUUCAUCGCAUUUGAUG